rnacentral:ncRNA from 1 species
AAACUGAAGAGUUUGAUCAUGGCUCAGAUUGAACGCUGGCGGCAGGCUUAACACAUGCAAGUCGAGCGGUAACAGGUCCAGCUUGCUGAUGCUGACGAGCGGCGGACGGGUGAGUAAUGCAUAGGAAUCU